AUCCUCUCAAGGCCAAUUGGCUAAGAUCAUGUGUAGUUUCUGUUCUUUAUAGCUUGACAGCUGUAAGUGCCUCAAGGGCACAUUUAUUCUGUCAUACUUAUUUUUGGAACCGAAGGGACAGUGGCGCAAUGCUCCUGUUCCGCGGGUGUCCCAAGCACUGCAGUACCGCUCGGUGACGCCCAGGUAUU
rnacentral:snRNA from 1 species